rnacentral:rRNA from 1 species
CACGUAGGGUGCGAGCGUUGUCCGGAAUUAUUGGGCGUAAAGAGCUCGUAGGCGGUCUGUUGCGUCUGCUGUGAAAACCCGGGGCUUAACCCCUGGCUUGCAGUGGAUACGGACAGACUAGAGGUAGGUAGGGGAGAAUGGAAUUCCCGGUGUAGCGGUGAAAUGCGCAGAUAUCGGGAGGAACACCGGUGGCGAAGGCGGUUCUCUGGGCCUUACCUGACGCUGAGGAGCGAAAGCGUGGGGAGCGAACAGG